AUUCCAUGACUGUAAAAAAAAAAAAAAAAGUGAUUAAAUGGCUAACAGCUGACCUUCCCCAAAUUUUAUGUUUUUUAAAGAGCUGAGGUGACAAGCUGAUGGUAUCUGUGGCCUUUGGAAAAAGCACAUAUCAUAGCUGCUGCCCUACUUGAUGAGCCCUAUUCCACCCUCCCACACCCGAUCCUCAUUCUGGCAUGACACCAGCUCUGCUUCCAGCCCCAAGUAUCAUCUUCUGCCCGCCUGUUCCUGCAGCUCUAUGUGAACUUUGGUUUCAAGUUAGCAUCUCAACAUCCAUUUGGCAAAGACUUUUGGAAGGGGCUGUUAUGUACCACCCUGGAUCUAGCAUCAGGGAUCAAAUGGCAAGAUUAUACUACUUGAUAUCUUGAGCUUCAACAGAAUUUCUUUCCUUGGAGGUUAU
rnacentral:lncRNA from 1 species